rnacentral:rRNA from 1 species
CAGUAGCCGCGGUAAUACGUAGGUGGCAAGCGUUGUCCGGAAUUAUUGGGCGUAAAGGGCUCGCAGGCGGUUUCUUAAGUCUGAUGUGAAAGCCCCCGGCUCAACCGGGGAGGGUCAUUGGAAACUGGGAAACUUGAGUGCAGAAGAGGAGAGUGGAAUUCCACGUGUAGCGGUGAAAUGCGUAGAGAUGUGGAGGGACACCAGUGGCGAAGGCGACUCUCUGGUCUGUAACUGACGCUGAGGAGCGAAAGCGUGGGGAGCGAACAGGAUUAGAUACCCCUGUAGUCCCUGUCUCUUAUAC